rnacentral:snoRNA from 13 species
GAAAAAACAUGAUGAUGUUUUAUCGUAAUAGUUUCUGUGAUCAAAUUACCAUGAUGAUGAUUUAAUGAACAUGCACUACCAUCUGAUUUCUC